GAUGAAGAACGUAGCGAAAUGCGAUAAGUAAUGUGAAUUGCAGAAUUCAGUGAAUCAUCGAAUCUUUGAACGCACAUUGCGCCCCUUGGUAUUCCGAGGGGCAUGCCUGUUCGAGCGUCAUAUUAACCACUCCCGCUUGCGGGGUCUUGGGCUCCGCCUCCGGGCGGGCCUUAAAAUCAGUGGCGGUGCCGUCGGGCUCUACGCGUAGUAAAUUUUCUCGCGAUAGGGUCCCGGUGGAUGCUUGCCAACAACCCCCAACUUCUUAAGGUUGACCUCGGAUCAGGUAGGGAUACCCGCUGAACUUAAGCAUAUCAAUAAGCGGAGGA
rnacentral:misc_RNA from 1 species